AAUGAACGCUGGCGGCGCGCCUAAUACAUGCAAGUCGAGCGAGAAGACGUAGCAAUACGUUUGUAAAGCGGCGAACGGGUGAGGAAUACAUGGGUAACCUACCCUCGAGUGGGGAAUAACUAGCCGAAAGGUUAGCUAAUACCGCGUACGCUCCUUGGACUUCGGUUCAGGGAGGAAAGCGAUACCGUGGGUAUCGCGCUCUUGGUUGGGCUCAUGUCCUAUCAGCUUGUUGGUGAGGAACGGCUCACCAAGGCUUCGACGGGUAGCUGGUCUGAGAGGACGAUCAGCCACACUGGCACUGCGACACGGGCCAGACUCCUACGGGAGGCAGCAGUAAGGAAUAUUGCGCAAUGGGCGAAAGCCUGACGCAGCGACGCCGCGUGGGGAUGAAAGUCUUCGGAUUGUAAACCCCUUUCGGGAGGGAAGA
rnacentral:rRNA from 1 species